rnacentral:rRNA from 1 species
UACGUAGGGUGCGAGCGUUGCCCGGAUUUAUUGGGCGUAAAGAGCGUGUAGGCGGCUUGGAAGGUCAGCUGUGAAAACUCGAGGCUCAACCUCGAGACGUCGGUUGAAACCACCUGGCUAGAGUCCGGAAGAGGAGAGUGGAAUUCCCGGUGUAGCGGUGAAAUGCGCAGAUAUCGGGAAGAACACCCGUGGCGAAGGCGGCUCUCUGGGACGGUACUGACGCUGAGACGCGAAAGCGUGGGGAGCGAACAGG